rnacentral:rRNA from 1 species
GCCCAGACUCCUACGGGAGGCAGCAGUGGGGAAUAUUGCACAAUGGGGGAAACCCUGAUGCAGCGACGCCGCGUGAGCGAUGAAGUAUUUCGGUAUGUAAAGCUCUCUCAGCAGGGAAGAAAAUGACGGUACCUGACUAAGAAGCCCCGGCUAACUACGUGCCAGCAGCCGCGGUAAUACGUAGGGGGCAAGCGUUAUCCGGAUUUACUGGGUGUAAAGGGAGCGUAGACGGCUGUGCAAGCCAGAUGUGAAAGCCCGGGGCUCAACCCCGGGACUGCAUUUGGAACUGUGUGGCUGGAGUGUCGGAGAGGCAGGCGGAAUUCCUAGUGUAGCGGUGAAAUGCGUAGAUAUUAGGAGGAACACCAGUGGCGAAGGCGGCCUGCUGGACGAUGACUGACGUUGAGGCUCGAAAGCGUGGGGAGCAAACAGGAUUAGAUACCCUCGUA